CCUACGGGGGGCAGCAGUGAGGAAUAUUGGUCAAUGGACGAGAGUCUGAACCAGCCAAGUAGCGUGAAGGAUGACUGCCCUAUGGGUUGUAAACUUCUUUUAUAAAGGAAUAAAACGAGGCACGUGUGCCCUUUUGCAUGUACUUUAUGAAUAAGGAUCGGCUAACUCCGUGCCAGCAGCCGCGGUAAUACGGAGGAUCCGAGCGUUAUCCGGAUUUAUUGGGUUUAAAGGGAGCGUAGAUGGGUUGUUAAGUCAGUUGUGAAAGUUUGCGGCUCAACCGUAAAAUUGCAAUUGAUACUGGCAGUCUUGAGUACAGUUGAGGUAAGCGGAAUUCGUGGUGUAGCGGUGAAAUGCUUAGAUAUCACGAAGAACCCCGAUUGCGAAGGCAGCUUACUAAACUGUGACUGACAUUGAUGCUCGAAAGUGUGGGUAUCAAACAGGAUUAGAUACCCCGGUAGUC
rnacentral:rRNA from 1 species